AAGCGAUUCUCCUGCCUCAACCUCCUGAGUAGCUGGGACUACAGAUACUGUCAGUUACCUACUCUUAACAGCCUUUCCACUCCCAACCUCUGUGAAUGGACAAGAGAUGCAGUUGUGAUCACUGAACAUGAGGCAACAUCUUCUAGGAAGACAUUCUCAUAGUCUUCAGACAUAAGGAAGAGAUAUCUUUUCAGCCAAUCUUUGAACAAUCUUAUAUGAAGCUUACCUGAAGUUGCUGUAGCCAUUUGGCAAGUCUGGGGAGACUAACACACACACUGAGGAUAGCAGAAAAUAAAGAUAGAAACAGCCUAGGCUUUUGGUGAAAUUCAUGAGCUUCUGAAUAAUGAACCCCGUACCACCCUACCUCUAUAAAAGAAUUCUUAAUAUGUGAAAUAAUAAAAUUUCUUUAUUAUUUAAGGCACUUUUA